rnacentral:tRNA from 1 species
AGGUCUGUCGCCAAGCGGUAAGGCAACGGGUUUUGAUCUCGUCAUACCUAGGUUCGAAUCCUAGCAGACCUGCCA